CGGGCCUCACUACCUCCCAGUCCCCCGCCACCCGUCGGAGGGAGAUGGCAUACACUUGAGGCUCCUCUCGAUCACUUAUUGAAGUUUUUAUUUUUGAGUGCUAGUGCUUAAAAUCCCUCCAAAAUAGAUUACGAAAAUACUUCACGGACAUCCAAGAAGAAAGUAAUAUACUGCAAGCGUUGUUUUCCAUUCCCAGUCCCGAAAGAUAGCUACUAAACAGUUGAAGAUGUAGGCAGCGUCUUCUGUGGAACCUUCAUUAAUGGACGAAAAGAAUAACAGAAUGGGUCCCUAGAGAUUGCAAGAGAAGCAGGGGAAGGAAGGGAAUACGACGGAUUGCCUAGCUAAGAAAAUUGACAGGUAUAUAAUGGCAUAGAAAGACCAUAAACAGAAGGGAGUGGAAGGACACGUCUGAAGCCUUUGCCCUGCAGUGGACUAGCAACGGCUGAUGAUGAUGAUAAUAUAUAUACAUAUCCAUAUAU